rnacentral:rRNA from 1 species
UACGUAGGGGGCAAGCGUUGUCCGGAUUUAUUGGGCGUAAAGAGCGUGUAGGCGGCUAGAUAGGUCCGUUGUGAAAACUCGAGGCUCAACCUCGAGACGUCGAUGGAAACCAUCUGGCUAGAGUCCGGAAGAGGAGAGUGGAAUUCCUGGUGUAGCGGUGAAAUGUGCAGAUAUCAGGAAGAACACCCGUGGCGAAGGCGGCUCUCUGGUACGUGACUGACGCUGAGACGCGAAAGCGUGGGGAGCGAACAGG